GCCUUAGUCAGAGCUAAAUUCACCCGCCUCUGUGCACCCGACCUCCUUGUAUCCCUCUAUGAGGCUAUUUGUGCACACACUGUCUCCCACGUGAGGCUCUAAGCCCCUGAGAGUCCUGUUCAUCUGUUUGCCCCAUAAACCCAGCAUGAUGCUUGGCAUACGGUCAGCAUUGCUGGGGCCUGGAGAGGGUGGAGGGUGAGCAUGGCCUCUUAAGAGGGGAAAGAAGCGGCCAAUCCCGCUCAGCCACUAGUUUGCCCUAUAGUGAUGGUGGCUGCCCCCACUCCCAAUCCACAGUAAGACUGCCCACUUCCAGCCCGAUGGCUCCCUCUGAGAAUCACCCGGGAGUAGGCCUAAAUGUCUGACCCCAGAGGACAUUUGCUGACCUCUGGCAUGGCGGGAAACGACUCAGGCCAGACACUCCCACUAAGUAACUUGACCUGAGACCUUCCACAUUAUGUAGUCAGUUCACGACUGAGGCAGAAGCCAAGAGCGUGUGUCUGGAGCGGCCAGGAUGUAGACACAGUGCCACCAUGGAGAUGAGGAGCAGACAAGGACAGAAGGGACGGUUCUGCAGCCCCAGCCUCAGCCGCAGCCCUCCCUCCACAGACACCCCACCCAGCCAUCCAGUCCCACCUGGCUCCACUCCCACCCGUUCUGUGUCCAAGCCCUGCGCCACAAUGCCUCGCGUGUUCGUGAUGUUGCUACAGUGCCCAUGACCCCCAUAAUCACGCUCCCAGGCAACCUAGGUGACUGCCCAGCUUAGGGCGGGGAAGCCUCGGGGACCCUAGAAGGACCACAGCACAGAGAACGCUCUGUGCCCUCCCAUGCCUUUCUCUGCUGUGGGAAGGUAGGCUCCCUGAACACGGCCGUGGGCCCUACAUCCCAGCUCACAAGAGAAGACGCCCCUCGGGACUACAGGCCACAGGGGUCAGGGAACCUUGUGCCCAUGCUCCGGCUUUGGGAGAGACAGUGAGUUGCCUCUCAGGGCCUCCACUUGCCAGCCCACAGAGAAGGGUCCAGAUAAGCCAGCAAGGAGUGAGGCACCCACCUGAGGGCCAUGGCCUCCCCUGUCCAACCUGAUGCCAAGACCCUGCUGCUUAACCUCCUAGGCUGGGGGCUACGGAUGUGCUAGGCUGGGGCAGGAUAUGCGGUGGCCACCACUGGUCAUGUGAUUUUUCUCCCUGGGCCUCACUUUCCCCUUGUGUGAGUUCCUGAGGGCAGGGCCUAUGGUGGCUUCUGUUUCCCAGUCCGGAAGCUGCCACAGGCAGGGUUGGAGCUCCUCUGAUUGAUUCUACCCAAGCUCACAGGGCUGAGUGCACACCGGGCCUGACACGAAUGUGUUUCCUCCCUCCUGUGUCAGAAGAUGCUGGAAGAGGGGAAGGUGGGAGAGGCCCUGAAGGUCUAGGAUGGAGCAGGCCCAGGAAUGACCAGACUUGCCCCACCCUCACCCCCACAGCCAUCCCCGAAGAGCCAUUUCUCCAGGAGAAGGGACCCAGGUGGCAGCCGGCGGUCAUAAAGCCGUCUCGGAAAGGCUCCUGAUGGCCAAACGGCAAACGCUCCAUCACUCAGCACCGCGUGGUUGCAGCACAUUACACCGGCCCCGCGGAGACCCUCCUCUUCCACCUGGCUUGCCAGUUUGGGGGCUUCCGAGUGGGGCCUGGACCCAGAGCCUCUACAGAGCCCCCGCCUCCAUCUGCAGGCCCACAAGCCCCAGGGGGAAGUGGAGGGAACGAAGGGCCAGGCCAGCCUCUCCUUGGAACCUCAGGACCAACUCAGAGACAGGGUCAGUCCCCACCCCCUUCUUUACAGAACAGCAGCCAAGCCUCCGAGAGGUUGGGUGCCCGGGACAGGCUCACACAACAUCCUCUUUAGGCCGGGAUUCCUCCAUCCAUGUCCCCAGGGGGGUGACCCCCUCCUGACCAGCCCACAGAUAUCCCAAUCUCCAGAUACUUCUGUGUAUGUCUUAUGGUCUGCCUCAUCCUGUCUCAGAUUCUCUAAAUUCCUCUGUGUCUCUGGGCCUGUCUGGCUCUCAUGGGCUCAGUCUCAGGCUCUCAGGUCUCUUUCUCUGUCUCUUUCACCCCUGGUGCCUGUGUCUCUUUGUCUCACUCCUAUGCCCUAUCCCCCCUUUCCUGCCUCACAUGCUUUCUCUCUGAGUCCCUGUCCUUGUCCACCCCUGUCUCCCUGACUUCGUCAUGGGGCCGAGAUCAGGAGUGGGAUGGCAGGAGCUGUCCUGGUAUCCAGGAGGGGCCUCCUUGGGUGGUCAUGUCUCCCCCCGGCCUGGCCCUGAGAAAGGAGGGCCCCUGAGCCACGGACCCACAGAGCACAGGUGGGGCUGAGGUAGGGAGAUUCCGGGAGCAGAUUUCUACUCUGUGGAAGUGAGAGAUGGGGUGAACCCCUCAUCCCCAGAGCCAUGCAGCGAGCCCUGCAAGGAGAUUUCUGCAUACGUCCAACCAUCAGACCUUGAAGGGCCCAUCUGGUUUUGGUGAUGGGACUGAGUGAUGGGGUCCCUGGGCCUGCUCUGAACUGAAAGGGUUAAUGCCUGGCCCCUGAGAGCUUCUUGAACAUGCUCUUCCUCCUGCUCCUUCACCUUAACCUCUCCAGCUAGCCCCUUUUCUCCUCCCUCUCUCCCCCUCUUUACCCCUCUCUCCCCCUUUCUCCCUCUGUCUCUCUCCAUCCAUCCAUUCCUCUUUCCCUCUUUUCUUCCCUCUCUCUGUCACCGAUAAGAAUUAAUUAAAUAUGUCCUCAGCUCCGGUCUCCUCACUUGCCCCAGGGAAUUAACCAGCCCCAGCACCUCAGGCCUUGUUAGAUUCCAGGAAAAACAUAACGCUUGCCCUCUGCAGCAUGUACGUGUGCGUGUGGGGGUCCCUGCACACGAAGAAGUACACACAGUGCCCACAGGGGCGUGCUGCGUGCUAUUGCGUGUUUCCAUGUCUGGUCUGCCGGUUCGUCCACACGCACAGGUCUGGAGACGCCGGUCAGGAUGUUUAUGUGGAUACUUUCAUGAGUCUGCUAGUAUGGAUGAGGGUCUGCGUUCCCUAUGGACAUCUGCACGCGUGCAUUGUAUGUCUUUGCACUUAAGUCCACCUCCCUGUGGACAUGUGUCUAUCGAAUCUGUGUGCUUGUACAGUGUGUCUGGGUAUGUGCAUUACCGUGCAAAUCUGUUUGGACAAAGACCUAUACGUCUCUGUGUUGUGCGUGCAUGUGUGCAUGUGCACAUCUAACAGUAUCAUGUGCUCGUGGGUGAGCAUGUCUACGUGCUACUGUGUGUGUGUGUGUGUGUGUGUGUGUGUGCAGCGUACCUACACCCUGGCCGCCCUGCACACAUCUCCUUCCUGUCUCCCUGGGAGCCAGCAGCCCUGUCUCCAGCAAGAGCCCUUGUGCUGCAUCUCUGGGGUGAUGAUGGUGGAGUCAGUGGCAGUGGCAGUACAGGUGGCAGGAGCCCAGAGGUAGGAAGGUGGAGGUGGUGCAGGGGAAGGCACCUGCUAAUGAGGCCACCUUCCUUGCCAGGCCUGGAAGCCAGUACCACUAAUUAUCGCCUCAGUAAGCAGCCCCCCAGGGAAGGGCUGCUGUGGAGCCCUGCUCCCCUCCCUCCCCUGGGACCCCUUCUCCACCUCCUCCCUGGACCUGAAGACACUGCAGGAGCCCUGGGCACCAAGAAGAAGGACAAAAAGAGAGGGGAGCCAGUAGCUCGUCCCACUAGGGGACCCAGGAUGCCUGCCUGCCUGCCCAUCAGCCUGCUGCCAGGAAGUCCACCUUUUAACAUACUCCUCUGUGUCUCCAAAAGGCCUCCGGGACUUCAAAUGUCCUUCUGGGGAAGUGAAGGCCUCCACACCCUGACCAGUCAUUCCCUCCACAAACAACGAGCAUACUUCUGUAAAAUGAGCACUAGGCUGGGAGUCAAGUGGGCCAGAUGAUAAUCCCAGCACUGUGUGACCUUGGGCAAGUUCCUAUACCUCUCUGGGCCUUGGUGUUCUUGUCUGAAAAAUAGAAGAGGACUAGAGCCACUUUUCUCAAAGAAUGACAUAUGCAUCAUUGGUGAGACACAAGACUAUUUUUGAUAGUACAGAGAAAUGGGCAUCUGCUAUUUUAACUAUGUAUUUUCAUGUGUAUGUUCUCACAUAUGUGUGCAUAUGUGUGUAUUUAACUAGCACAUCAGACCCCUGAUUUCACAAACAUUGCUUCAGACAAGGCUAAAACACACAUUUAAAUUUUAAAAGUGAGCCAGUUUAAGGAAAAAUGUUAAGUGAGAGUAAAGACUGGCAUCUGAGUAUGACAACGGUCCUGGUGGAAGCUGAUGAGUGACUCCAGCCCCGGGUCAGAGGGUCCCUGAGACCUUCCAUCUCUGAGAGGCAGUGGGUUCAAGGCCUCAAGCCCCCUGGAAUGAGAAAUACGCAGACUGCUCCUUGGUUCCCACUCUUGUCGUCAUCGUCACUACGACAGACCGUCACGUGGAACAGCAGAAGUUGCUAUGGGGUAAGUGGGACAGUCCCUCCUGGCCAUAGGCCCCCACGACAUCUCAGAUGACACAGGCAGUGUCCACACAUGUGGCCCCUGGGGCGGAUCAGGCCAGUUAGGCCAGGACAGGGAAAUGGCACAUGGUAAAGGCAGAGGUCACGGGGGUCUGAGCAGAGAUGGCUCCAGCUGGGCCUGAGGUGCCCUGGGGACUCAGUAGCCACAUCUCCUGUGGAACCUAAGGAGGAGGCUGGCUGAGCACCCCAGGCCAGUGAUUAAGGUAUUCCACCUGCCCUGCCCAGGGAAGAGCAGCCUGUCCCACAGCCCCAAAUGUCUCUGUCCUCCAAGAGGCAAGAGGCCGGGUAUGAAUCACAGGAAUUUACAGCCCAGCCCGGCGUGGGAUUUAUGAGUCUGCCUCAAGCCCGGCCAGCGGGGAGUGGCCGCCUGUCAGCCCCCCAUUGCCCCUGAUUGAUGAGGCUGUUUCCUGCCAAGAAAAACUCCCCUCUGUGGCAGACAGCAGAGGGAAAGGUUCCCAGGCCCAAGGGCCAGCCCAUCACCCCAUACCUGCCCAGACCUGGACCCCUGUCCUGCUCUCACAGCCCACACUUCCCAUGAUUCCCCCAGUUCCACACACUGACACCCAGCGAGGAUGUGCACCUGAAGGGCCUGGCUCCCCAGUCAGAGUUCCACCUUCCCAGACCUGCCAUGUACUCACCCCUUUGCAGCAUCCUUCAAAACAGAGCCAUCGCAGGGGCCAAGGCUGGACAUGCCAAAUUCCAGAAUGGAUCUCUGAGGGAAUCUAGCACACACACGUUUCACAGAUGAGCCAGAGGUCCAGAGAGGGAUGGCUUUGCCCAAAGUCACACAGCAGCACAGUGGUGCGGCUGAGACCUGAGCCACAAGACCCUGGACUAGUCAUUUCCAGGUGUGGUCAUAGCUGAUUUCUGUGGUGCCAAUGGGGAUACUUUUCAUCUCCAAAUAAGGACUCCUCUCUGGAGAAUCUAUGGACUUGGGUUAGACUCCCUCCUCCACCACUUUGUGUCUGAAAGUCACAACAUCUCUGCGCUUCCUCACCUGAAAAAUGGGCUCAAAAGUGACCCUGACCUUCUGGGUCGUCAUGAGAUUCAAGUGAUACAAUGCAGGAAAAGUCCCAGGACAGAGCUGGGCUCCUAGCAGGUGCUCCCUAGGUGAUGGAGAUGGCCCUUCACCAUCCCUAAUGCCUUAAAGGGCCCCACUGCCUGAUUUGCUAGGAGGAGAGGGUACAGUUUAGGGCAGGUAGAGCAUAAGGAACAAAGAGAGGAUGUAUAUAGGCCUGAAGGAUGGGAGUGAGGCUGCUUCCUGCCGGAAGAAAUCCUGAAAGGAUCCCUGGAGCAGGAGGCUUCAGGCAGAUGAUUCAGAGCUUCACCUCUCUCGCCCUAAGGCCACUUUGGGGCUUUCCAAGCACCACAGGGCUAAGGGGAAGCACCUUGCCCUAAAAGCCAAUGCCAGCCCAAGCUUCUUCCCUGGAUGACCUGCAGCCAAGCUUCUCACCUCUCUAGGCAUCUGCAAACCGGGCCAGAGAGAACCAGACAACUCUCACUAGAGGCAUCCUCCCGUUCUGACCCUCGUGCAAGCCCAUCCCCUGCAGUACCCAAAUCUUGCCACUGGGUAGCAGCAGGGAGUAAAGCCGGGGUCCAGCCUCCUUCCUGCUGCAGAGGCUGCAGCCGCUGCUGGCCAGUCCCACCCCAGCACCAGGAGUUCUUUGCACCCCUACACCCUCAGUUCCUCCAGGGAACCAGAGCUGGGUAACCACCCACAUCCAGACAUGUGAUCCUCCCCCCCGCCCGGCCCCACAGAGCAGCCAGCAUUCUCUACACUUUUUCAGAUGGGGAAACUGAGUUCCAGAGAGGGGAGGACUUGUUCUAGGUCACAAAGCAAUCACGGCAGAGCCAAGUGUCCAAACCUCUCUCCCAGCCUCCAGCCUCCUGUGGAGGCUGCGUGAAGGGACAGACUUGGGCUGGAAUCCUGGAACUCUCCCCCGUGGCCGUGCGUUACUGGACAGGUUACCCACACUCUGUGACUCUCGGCUUAUGUAAGUGCCUGGCACAUGGCAAGUGCCCAGCUGCUUUGUUUCAGCUACAUAUUACACCCCACAAGAGAAGACAUGUGUCUGUCUAUCUUACCCUCCUCGGUGUCCCCAGAACCCAGCAUGGGGAGGGGGAGGUGUUCAGAGAGAACUGAUGCCUUGAGGCCCCCUUCUGCCUGGCACUGGGUCUAAGGGUCUCCCUCCCCGAGUGCCUUCCACUCUCCCAGGUCAAUCUUUUCAUUCUUCUCCACCCUUGGCAACCCCGCCUGGUGCCCACACGCCCUGGGCCCUGGGGUAGCGGCUUCUGCUCACCCCAGCUCACCUUUUCUCCCCAUCUCUCUCAGCCCCCUUUUUCUCUGUCCCUGCCUCUCCCUCGGUCCUGCUGAGCCCCUGCUCUGCACUACCUGCUGUGUUUACAAGACAACGAUGACAGGUUUUUAUUUCUCUCUUUUGUCUCCCUUCCUCCCCUGAUGGGAGACGUGCUUCCCCUCUCCCAGGAAAAGAUGAAGGUUCCAGAAGAGAAAAAGCAAACAAAGGACAGUGGGACCAUGGGUACCUCCCAACCCCCACACCCACAUCUACCCAUAGGCCACACACAUCCACACCAUCCUCCUCUUGUCAGGGCCUCUGAGAACUGCUCUGUUAUUUGGGGGGUAAUUGAAAAUGUCGGUCUUUAUUCUAGAGGAUAAACAGGGCCAAGGGACUGGGAGAGCAAGAGGGAGAGUGAGAGAAGAGAAAGGGAAGCCAGAGGGAGACAGAAAGACUUAGGGAAGAGCCAGAUGGGAGAGCGUGGACACAGAGGGAGAGAAGCCGGGAGGAACAGGACCGGGCAGACUCUCUGCCUCCAGUGAGCUUGGAGGUGCGGCUUCUGACCCGCACCAGGACUCCAGGGACAUGUGCUCUCCAACAAGCUCCCCCAUCCACACCCCAGCAAGGGCCAGGAACAGGAUUGCCAGGUGGCAGGAGCACCUAUGCCAGUCCUCCUGUCCUUGGGUGUCCCCUGGAGUGGGCAUCUCUGAGUGCUCAAGGCAGGGAGAAGGGAUCUGGCUUGUCUUCGUGGACGAGAGCUCCCAACCAAAUGCACCGCAUCCAGAGUCAGGACCCCAGACUGGAGGGCUGACCCCCAGCUCACGCCCCAACGCCUUCCUGAGCGUGGAGACCCAAUCUCCCCUCCCACAGCCCCACCCCCCACCCUGUCUGCACCUGUGCAUGGUAGGGAGGGAGCACUCUCAUCAUUUACUUUAUUUCUCCUGGGCAGUGAGAGGUACACCUGAGCCCAAGCAGAUGUAUGCGUGCACGUGAGAUAAAGAGGCGCCUGGAGAGGGGGUGUGCCUAUGUAGUAAAAGGCAGGGCCCCUCUUCCUCCCGGCCCAGGGUCACCAUCCUCCCAGCUCCUGGGAACCAGAGUGACAACUAGCACUCAGGGUCUCUCCAGCCACAACAGAAUGACAGAGACCAGCAGCCCCAGCCGGUAUCGAGGAGCAGGAGCGUCAUGUGAUUGCAGUGUUAUUACCACCACGCCCCGCGGGGUUGCCCCGUGAAGGUCAGGCCUCUCCUGCCCCGGGAGAGAAAGGAGGAAACUCUGGAGGGCAGCGUGCCAUUCACUGACCCUCACCCCCACCCCACUGUCUGCUCACGGUUAGAGAAAGCUGCUUCCAUCCUCCCCCCAAGCCGCUCUCCGAACACCUGUUGGGCAUGGCUGGGCCUUCACCAUCUCUUGGUACCGCCAGGUGCAGCCAGAGCCUGGCAUAGGGCAGGAGCUCAGCAAAUGUUUAUUGGAUGAAUAAAUGAAUGAUCGUGUCUGUAUGCAUCACAUGCCAGGCUCCAGGGCCCAAGUAUCUGAGGGCACAGGUUAAGUCCUACAACCAUUCAGACCAGGGGGGCACCUGUGUGGCUCAGUCAGUUAAGCAUCAGACUUUGACUCAGGUCAUGAUCUUGCAGUUCGUGAGCACGAGCCUCUCUUUGGGUGAGC